rnacentral:rRNA from 1 species
UACGAAGGGUGCAAGCGUUAAUCGGAAUUACUGGGCGUAAAGCGCGCGUAGGUGGUUCAGUAAGUUGGAUGUGAAAUCCCCGGGCUCAACCUGGGAACUGCAUCCAAAACUGCUGAGCUAGAGUACGGUAGAGGGUGGUGGAAUUUCCUGUGUAGCGGUGAAAUGCGUAGAUAUAGGAAGGAACACCAGUGGCGAAGGCGACCACCUGGACUGACACUGACACUGAGGUGCGAAAGCGUGGGGAGCAAACAGG